UCAGCUCGUGUCGUGAGAUAUUGGUUAAGUCCGCAACGAGCGCAACCCUACUUGUUAGUUGUCCAUCAUUCAGUUGGGCACUCUAGCGAGACUGCCGGUAAUAAACCGGAGGAAGGUGGGGAUGACGUCAAAUCAUCAUGCCCCUUAUGACCUGGGCUACACACGUGCUACAAUGGUUGGUACAACGAGUUGCGAGUCGGUGACGGCGAGCUAAUCUCUUAAAGCCAAUCUCAGUUCGGAUUGUAGGCUGCAACUCGCCUACAUGAAGUCGGAAUCGCUAGUAAUCGCGGAUCAGCACGCCGCGGUGAAUACGUUCCCGGGCCUU
rnacentral:rRNA from 1 species